rnacentral:rRNA from 1 species
GUGCUUAACACAUGCAAGUCGAACGGUAAGGCCCUUCGGGGUACACGAGUGGCGAACGGGUGAGUAACACGUGGGUAAUCUGCCCUGCACAUCGGGAUAAGCCUGGGAAACUGGGUCUAAUACCGAAUAGGACCACAGAACACAUGUCCUGUGGUGGAAAGCUUUUGCGGUGUGGGAUGGGCCCGCGGCCUAUCAGCUUGUUGGUGGGGUGAUGGCCCACCAAGGCGACGACGGGUAGCCGGCCUGAGAGGGUGUCCGGCCACACUGGGACUGAGAUACGGCCCAGACUCCUACGGGAGGCAGCAGUGGGGAAUAUUGCACAAUGGGCGAAAGCCUGAUGCAGCGACGCCGCGUGGGGGAUGACGGCCUUCGGGUUGUAAACCUCUUUCACCAUCGACGAAGGUCCGGGUUUUCUCGGAUUGACGGUAGGUGGAGAAGAAGCACCGGCCAACUACGUGCCAGCAGCCGCGGUAAUACGUAGGGUGCGAGCGUUGUCCGGAAUUACUGGGCGUAAAGAGCUCGUA